GCUGCACGGUUACAUGACCAGGGGUUUAGGAUUGGUUGGUAAAAUGGAAGCAUGAACAAGAAGCAGGAUUGGACAAAGCUUGAGGAAGUGGUGAACUCUCUUUUCUGGGGGCAGGGGACCAAUCUCUCCUCUCAGCCAACUUUUGGAAAAUCUUCCAUGGUCUCUUCCGAUGAGUCGAAGUUAGAGCCGGUGGAUUAAACAGUUGUGAAUCACGUUCCCUUGUGAGGUCAGAUCACACGAACAAUGAAAGCAAAUUGAUUUCUUCCACAAGAAACUGGAUCAUGCUUGCUCAUGCCGUGAUGCAGCGUGGCUAUUCAUGUUGAUCGAAUCGCAUUAUGGUGUAUGACAGUAUGAGCAGGAAAAACAACACAUUGUUAGCAAUUAACACAAGCCUGAUCAAUCGGCGAAGCGAAGGGGCAGAAGAGAAGCUUCUGAGGGAAGUAACUUUCCAAGCUGUACAUUCGUGAGAUAAUGAUCAGACGAUGGCAAGUUGACAACUCUCACCUGAGAAUUGACCCGUCAGAAAGAAUUCUCCAAGCUGUAGCUGUUGUUUUCCUUGCAAUUCACGAAGGACGAAGAAUACUCAGUCCUAGGUCUUAGGCUCCGUGUUACAGUUACAUGGCCAACCAAACAGGGACCACGCAUUUAUAUUGCAUGAUAUACUGCCCCAAGUCCCCAGAAGGUAUUUUAAGACCUUGAGAACUUUCAUAGGGGAGUAUUUUCUAUUAGCAAAUUUAAUAUUAAAGUCAACUAAUAGCUACAAAUUUAUAUUAAAGCUAACAUGUUAUAUUACAACAUUGACUAUAAUAUUUUGCCCAUAUCUCUCUCACCGGUGUAUUUAAUACAUAUA